AUACGGAGGAUGUGAGCGUUAUCCGGAUUUAUUGGGUUUAAAGGGUGCGUAGGCUGUGCGUCAAGUCAGGGGUGAAAUGCCGUCGCUCAACGACGGAGCUGCCCUUGAUACUGGCGUGCUGGAGUACGGAUGCCGUUGGAGGAAUGAGUGGUGUAGCGGUGAAAUGCUUAGAUAUCACUCAGAACACCGAUUGCGAAGGCAUCUGACGAAUCCGUCACUGACGCUGAGGCACGAAAGCGUGGGGAUAGAACAGGAUUAGAUACCCUGGUAUUCCACGCCGUAAACGAUGAUGACUAACCGUCGGCGAUAGACAGCCGGUGGCCAAGCGAAAGCGAUAAGUCAUCCACCUGGGGAGUACGUCGGCAACGAUGAAACUUAAAGGAAUUGACGGGG
rnacentral:rRNA from 1 species